rnacentral:rRNA from 1 species
GACGAACGCUGGCGGCGUGCUUAACACAUGCAAGUCGAACGCUGAAGCACCAGCUUGCUGGUGUGGAUGAGUGGCGAACGGGUGAGUAAUACGUGAGUAACCUGCCCUUGACUCUGGGAUAAGCCCGGGAAACUGGGUCUAAUACUGGAUGCUACAUGUCACCGCAUGGUGGUGUGUGGAAAGGGUUUACUGGUCUUGGAUGGGCUCACGGCCUAUCAGCUUGUUGGUGAGGUAAUGGCUCACCAAGGCGACGACGGGUAGCCGGCCUGAGAGGGUGACCGGCCACACUGGGACUGAGACACGGCCCAGACUCCUACGGGAGGCAGCAGGGGGGAAUAUUGCACAAUGGGCGAAAGCCGGAUGCAGCGACGCCGCGUGAGGGAGGACGGCCUUCGGGUUGUAAACCUCUUUCAGCAGGGAAGAAGCCACAAGUGACGGUACCUGCAGAAGAAGCGCCGGCUAACUACGUG